rnacentral:rRNA from 1 species
GGGGAAUAUUGCACAAUGGGCGAAAGCCUGAUGCAGCGACGCCGCGUGAGGGAUGACGGCCUUCGGGUUGUAAACCUCUUUCAGCAGGGAAGAAGCGAAAGUGACGGUACCUGCAGAAGAAGCCCCGGCUAACUUCGUGCCAGCAGCCGCGGUAAUACGAAGGGGGCUAGCGUUGCUCGGAAUCACUGGGCGUAAAGCGCACGUAGGCGGAUCGUUAAGUCAGGGGUGAAAUCCUGGGGCUCAACCUCAGAACUGCCCUUGAUACUGGCGAUCUCGAGUUCGAGAGAGGUUGGUGGAACUCCGAGUGUAGAGGUGAAAUUCGUAGAUAUUCGGAAGAACACCAGUGGCGAAGGCGGCCAACUGGCUCGAUACUGACGCUGAGGUGCGAAAGCGUGGGGAGCAAACA